GGCACCCUCCCUGCAUUGCGGGAGGUGAGGUCGGCCCCACCUGAACCACAUAGAAUGGGUUCGAGGAAGGAAAGUAUGGUUUUAUUUCCAAGAGAAGUGGGAGAAAAGCAUUCCAAACCCAAAGGGAAUAUGGCUCAUUUAUUUGCUGAGUGGGACUGGAGGCCCACAGCCGCAGAAGAUCCUGGCCCCACAGCAGCUAGAGAGUAAGCUCAGAGUGCUGUCAGUUCUCUCCUGGUGCCUCUCGCCAUGAUGGUGUAGUGGAAAAAUGGUCAACAAGGCUGUUUCCUACUGUGUCCUAAAAGCCCAUCAUGAGAAGUACCAGGAACAAGAAGAUCAUGGGUGAGGCAGCUGCUCAGAAACAAAUGUCUUUCAACAAUUACCCCCAGGCAUGGUAAAGGUUACACUGAGCGUGCCUGCCUCUUCUGCCUCACUUUCCACCUCUGCCGCCUCUUCCACCUUUGCCACCUCUGAGACAGCAAGAUCAACUUUUCCUCUUCCUCCUCCUCAGCCUACUUAACAUGAAGACAACAAGGAUGAAGACCUUUAUGAUGAUCCACUUCCAUCUUUGUGAAUAAUAAACACAUUUUCUCUUUCUUAUUAUGUUCUUACUAGCAUUUUAUUUUCUCUAGCUUGCUCUGUUGUAAGAAUGCAGUAUAUAACACAUAUAACAUACAAAAUAUGUAUUAUCGGCUGUUUACAUUAUUGGUAAGACUUCUGGUCAACAGUAAACUAUUAGUACUUAAGUUUAGGGGAGUCAGAAGUUAUCCACAAAUUUUGACUGUGGUGGGGGUCAGUGUCCCUAACCUCUGGAUUGUUCAUGGGUCAACUGUAUUCAGUAAACCAUCCUAUAAAUAAAUAUGCUGUCAUCCA